AUGCCUGGAAUGGUUUGCCUUUGAAAUGUUUUUUUUCGCCUAAGGAUAGGUCUGCGGCUGAUUAGGUCGUUGGUGGGGUAAUGGCCCACCAAGCCGAUGAUCGGUACGGGUUGUGAGAGCAAGGGCCCGGAGAUGGAACCUGAGACAAGGUUCCAGACCCUACGGGGUGCAGCAGGCGCGAAACCUCCGCAAUGUACGAAAGUGCGACGGGGGGAUCCCAAGUGUUAUGCUUUUUUGUAUGACUUUUCAUUAGUGUAAAAAGCUUUUAGAAUAAGAGCUGGGCAAGACCGGUGCCAGCCGCCGCGGUAACACCGGCAGCUCGAGUGGUAGCUGUUUUUAUUGGGCCUAAAGCGUUCGUAGCCGGUUUGAUAAGUCUUUGGUGAAAGCUUGUAGCUUAACUAUAAGAAUUGCUGGAGAUACUAUUAGACUUGAAGUCGGGAGAGGUUAGAGGUACUACCGGGGUAGGGGUGAAAUCCUAUAAUCCUGGGAGGACCACCUGUGGCGAAGGCGUCUAACUGGAACGAUCUUGACGGUGAGUAACGAAAGCCAGGGGCGCGAACCGGAUUAGAUACCCGGGUAGUCCUGGCCGUAAACGAUGUGGACUUGGUGUUGGAAUGGCUUUGAGUUGUUCCGGUGCCGAAGGGAAGCUGUUAAGUCCACCGCCUGGGAAGUACGGUCGCAAGACUGAAACUUAA
rnacentral:rRNA from 1 species